rnacentral:rRNA from 1 species
AACGAACGCUGGCGGCAUGCCUAAUACAUGCAAGUCGAACGAUCACUUCGGUAGUAGUGGCGCACGGGUGCGUAACGCGUGGGAAUCUGCCCUUGGGUUCGGAAUAACGUCGGGAAACUGACGCUAAUACCGGAUGAUGACGUAAGUCCAAAGAUUUAUCGCCCAGGGAUGAGCCCGCGUAGGAUUAGCUAGUUGGUGGGGUAAAGGCCUACCAAGGCGACGAUCCUUAGCUGGUCUGAGAGGAUGAUCAGCCACACUGGGACUGAGACACGGCCCAGACUCCUACGGGAGGCAGCAGUAGGGAAUAUUGGACAAUGGGGGCAACCCUGAUCCAGCAAUGCCGCGUGAGUGAUGAAGGCCUUAGAGUUGUAAAGCUCUUUUACCCGGGAUGAUAAUGACAGUACCGGGAGAAUAAGCCCCGGCUAACUCCGUGCCAGCCGCCGCAGUAA